rnacentral:rRNA from 1 species
GAUGAACGCUGACAGAAUGCUUAACACAUGCAAGUCCACUUGAAUUUGGGUUUUUACCUUAGGUUUGGGUGGCGGACGGGUGAGUAACGCGUAAAGAACUUGCCUCACAGCUAGGGACAACAUUUGGAAACGAAUGCUAAUACCUAAUAUUAUGAUAAUAGGGCAUCCUAUAAUUAUGAAAGCUAUAAGCGCUGUGAGAGAGCUUUGCGUCCCAUUAGCUAGUUGGAGAGGUAACGGCUCACCAAGGCGAUGAUGGGUAGCCAGCCUGAGAGGGUGAUCGGCCACAAGGGGACUGAGACACGGCCCUUACUCAUUCGGGAGGCAGCAGUGGGGAAUAUUGGACGAUGGACCGAGAGUCUGAUCCAGCAAUUCUGUGUGCACGAUGAAGUUUUUCGGAAUGUAAAGUACUUUCAGUUGGGAAGAAACAAAUGACGGUACCAACAGAAGAAGUGACGGCUAAAUACGUG